rnacentral:rRNA from 1 species
GAACGCGAAGAACCUUACCAGGUCUUGACAUCCCUCUGACCGCUCUAGAGAUAGAGUUUUCCUUCGGGACAGAGGUGACAGGUGGUGCAUGGUUGUCGUCAGCUCGUGUCGUGAGAUGUUGGGUUAAGUCCCGCAACGAGCGCAACCCCUAUUGUUAGUUGCCAUCAUUCAGUUGGGCACUCUAGCGAGACUGCCGGUAAUAAACCGGAGGAAGGUGGGGAUGACGUCAAAUCAUCAUGCCCCUUAUGACCUGGGCUACACACGUGCUACAAUGGCUGGUACAACGAGUCGCAAGCCGGUGACGGCAAGCUAAUCUCUUAAAGCCAGUCUCAGUUCGGAUUGUAGGCUGCAACUCGCCUACAUGGAGUCGGAAUCGCUAGUAAUCGCGGAUCAGCACGCCGCGGUGAAUACGUUCCCGGGUCUUGUACACACC